CUAAGAAUAUUCCGCAAUGGACGAAAGUCUGACGGAGCGACGCCGCGUGGAUGAUGAAGGCCGGAAGGUUGUAAAAUCCUUUUGUCGGGGAAGAAUAAGCGCGGGAGGGAAUGCCCGCGUGAUGACAUGAACCGGCGAAUAAGCCCCGGCUAACUCCGUGCCGGCAGCCGCGGUAACACGUAGGGGGCGAGCGUUGUUCGGAAUUACUGGGCGUAAAGGGCAUGUAGGCGGUCUUGUAAGCCUGACGUGAAGGGCUAUGGCUUAACCAUGGCACUGCGUUGGGAACUGCGGGACUUGAAUCACGGAGGGGGAACUGGAAUUCCAGGUGUAGGGGUGAAAUCUGUAGAUAUCUGGAAGAACACCAGUGGCGAAGGCGAGUUCCUGGCCGAUGAUUGACGCUGA
rnacentral:rRNA from 1 species